rnacentral:misc_RNA from 1 species
AAGACUAUAGACCUGCGGAGUACCUGCGGAAGGAUCAUUACCGAGUGAGGGCCCUCUGGGUCCAACCUCCCACCCGUGUUUAUCGUACCUUGUUGCUUCGGCGGGCCCGCCUCACGGCCGCCGGGGGGCACCUGCCCCCGGGCCCGCGCCCGCCGAAGACAUCAUUGAACUCUGUCUGAAGAUUGCAGUCUGAGUAGAUUAGCUAAAUCAGUUAAAACUUUCAACAACGGAUCUCUAGAU